GCUCCGGUGGCCUAGUGGUUAGUGCGUUUGCCUUGGAUGCGGUAGGUCGUGGGUUCGUUCGCCGGCCGAAUCA